UCCGUAGGUGAACCUGCGGAGGGAUCAUUACAAGUGACCCCGGCUACGGCCGGGAUGUUCAUAACCCUUUGUUGUCCGACUCUGUUGCCUCCGGGGCGACCCUGCCUUCGGGCGGGGGCUCCGGGUGGACACUUCAAACUCUUGCGUAACUUUGCAGUCUGAGUAAACUUAAUUAAUAAAUUAAAACUUUUAACAACGGAUCUCUUGGUUCUGGCAUCGAUGAAGAACGCAGCGAAAUGCGAUAAGUAAUGUGAAUUGCAGAAUUCAGUGAAUCAUCGAAUCUUUGAACGCACAUUGCGCCCCCUGGUAUUCCGGGGGGCAUGCCUGUUCGAGCGUCAUUUCACCACUCAAGCCUCGCUUGGUAUUGGGCAACGCGGUCCGCCGCGUGCCUCAAAUCGUCCGGCUGGGUCUUCUGUCCCCUAAGCGUUGUGGAAACUAUUCGCUAAAGGGUGUUCGGGAGGCUACGCCGUAAAACAACCCCAUUUCUAAGGUGACCUCCGAUCAGGUACGCA
rnacentral:sRNA from 1 species